UAAAAAAUUAUUCCUUUAAUAAAUAAAAAAAACCUAUGACCAUUCACAAAUAAUGAAAUGAAGUUUCAUUUAACAACAAUGAUUGAUUAUUUAUUGAACCGACUUAUACCACUUUAUGUUGAAUUAAAUAAAUAUUCCCAAGGAUUUAACAGAACUGCAUAUAGUCAGGGAAUUUUUAAAUUAUUUGACUGGAAUACCUGGAAAAGUCAGGGAAUUUCAGUUUCAGAAAUCUGUGGUCACUAUGAUAAAGCAAUUAUUUCUUGAUAUAAAAAAAAGGCCAUUCGGCAGCCGAAAUGGAAGUGUAUAGUCAUGAUAUGAAAUUAGGCUCGUUUUCUAAGAGUGAGAGUAAAAAAAGACAACGACUAUUUUCGAUAGAGAACUUCAGAUAGUUGAUUUGACAAAACAUUAUAUAGGUAAUGUACCAAACUAACCUUCACGUAAACAAAGUAUAUAGAAAAUUUAAUUAAUAUGAUCAUAAUUGUAAUCGCUAUUACGAUGGCAUACCAGUUAUAAUUAUAGGACGUACAGCAGUGAAAUUUACAGGUUAUUUUCUUCACAAUGAAAUACAACUGAUGAAAUUGAAUUAGAAUGGGAAAUGCUUAAGUUAUGUGGAAUAAACAACCAUAUUUCCAACAUUUUUUAAUUUCAUUUAAAAUUUCAAGGCUAUCAAAUUAUUGGAAGAAAUAGUCAAAAUAUAUCGUUUAAGGUCAUAAAUUAAAGAUUAUUAGACAAGCUUUCAAAAACUUUUCAGGAAAAUUGUCUAUGAAUGUUAGUUUUGAAGUUAUAUGAACUUUAGCAGUGAUUAAAAACUGAUUUUUACGAAAAAUCAUGAAAAUUUCAAACAGCCAUAAUUUUAAGACUAUUCCAACGAUUCAGGGCAUCUUUGAACUUGAUCAAGGUAAUCGCCUAUAGAAUAAGUGUAAAAAAAUUCAUUAAGAUCCGAUAAGUACUGUGGGUGCUAUCGUAAUGACAAUACCAGUGAUAAUCAUAGGGAUUAGAGGUUAUUUUGUGCACAAUAAAAUACAACUGACAAAACCGGAUUAUAAUGGGACAAGCAUAAGUUAUGUGGAUUGAAAACCAUAUUUUUAACGUUUUUUGAUUCCAUUAAAAUUUUCAAGGCUAUUAAAUUAUUGGAAGAAAUGGUCAAAAUAUAAAGGUUAAGGUCAUAAAUUAAAGCUUAUUAGUCAAACUUUAAAAUACUUUUUACAGAAAUUAUCUACGAGUUUUUGUUUUAAAGUUAUAUGGACUUAAAAGUGAUUAAAAACUGAUUUUUUUGAAAAAUCGUUAAAAAUUCAAACAGUCAUAACUUCUAAACUAAUCUAACGAUUUAGCCCAUCUUCGAACUUAACCGUGAUAA